ensembl:lncRNA
GACUUCUCUAGGGUUGUGGUUCUCUCUCCUGUCAUGACAGUUUGUUAUGUUACAUUUUUAAUAGUUGUGCUUGCCUGAGUUCUUACUGGACCAUAACUAGUUUGGUGUUUCAAACUCUUGCUAUACCAGAGGAAAGCUGAGAUAAUCCUGCGUGCUUGAGCUGUAGUUAAUUUGGUGUUUCAAAUCUCUUAUGUUGAGAACCUGCUGAGAGAAAUAAACCAGCCUGACAGUUCUGAACAAGGUGCUUAUCUGCUCAGCUUUGGUUCAGUAUCCUAUUUCCGGGCCGUAACCUGGGAACUGGCUGGGCUCAGGGUGAAGCUUUCCCUGACCUACUGUCCUAUUGACUGCCCUGACAUUCCACUUCCCCAUUCCCAGUUCUUCCUAGUCUUGCUCACUUCUCAUUACAAAAGAUCUUUCAGUAUCUAAACCUGUGAGAGGCUUAUAGACCUUAAGGACAUAUCUGAAGGGGACCAGAAUGUGCCAUCCCCAAAUACUAUGCUACUUGAGCGAAAAGAUUGUCUUAAACUAGACACUUGAAAAACAGCUGAUGCGAGAGCAUUCUGAGGUCUCCUUUUUCUUAAUGAAAACGGGAGUUAAAACUCCCUCGUGAAAGAUGCCUGCCCUAUGCAAGAAGAAACAGUCUUGUCAUCAAGGAUGAAAUAUUAAGACCAAAGAGGAUUCUGCACAAACUGACCUUAUUAAGAUUGUUGCACAAAGUCCUGCCACCCUCAAGUCAGGUGUGAUUGGCCAGGAGAGAGGCAGAAGGACCAGAGGGACCAUCCUAAGCAAGCCCUGUUGUGCAUGAUGUGGGUCUGACCAGGGACAGACUCUUCAUCUGACUGGAACACAUUGGUUAAUCUCCUCAAAGCCACCACUCAUUCAGAAUAGGCAGUGUCAGAAUCUCUGCAUGUUCCCAAGGUUAAAGGGUAUGAUGAUGGAUGGAUAGAUGAUGGUAGUUUGGUAAAGCUCAAGACUAUUUAAAAAUAUUUUUAAUGCAUAAAGUGGAAUGCCUCAGAAUGUUUUUAAAUAUGUAAAAAAUUUUUAAAUACAAAGAAUCAAUUAUGUUGAAGUUACCAAAAUAUAUACAAGCUAUCAAAAUAUAAAUUUGUCACAUCAUUAUAAAUGUGUAUUUUUAUCAAUGAUUAAACAACUUCUAGUUGGAGAAGACUUACAACUACUGUCAUUUCAAAGUAGUUAUGAACAUUAAAGAUAUUUAG